UCCAAGGCUUUUACCCCAACCAACACCCUAAACCUCUUCUCCAAGGCUUUUUUUCUUCUUCUUUUAAUUAGGGCUUUGGGGAAUAAUUGAUAACACUAGACCUUGACCCGCGCGCCCGCGCGGGUGUUCGUUUUCGGUUUGAAUUGUUAUUAUGUUUAUUAUAGAUUAUGUAAUUGUUAUAUUAAAUAUCUUAUAUUAUAUGGUGAUGUAAAAAAUGUUAAUGAUGAAUUACAUUAGUUAUUUAUAUCUAAAUGGUUGAAACAGAUUUUUGUUAGUCAUAUAGUUUGUGUGUGGUAGUUUGUUAAUUUUAUAGUCAAUAAAAAAAUAUUUGAUAAAUUACUAUACUCAUUCACUUGCAUGAGGUAAAAUAUUAUGUUUUAAUAUUUAUAAAUGCAUAAGUACAUAUUUGAUUAUUAACAUUAUUUAGUUAUAGAUAAAAUAUAGUUUGACAGAAUUUAUGUAUAUCAUUAAAAUCGAUCUCCAUGGUUUUAAAAAAUAUGUACAUAUUUAGAACCUAAAUUCGAUAAUAUAUAGUUGUAAUCCGAAUAUAUAUCUAAUCUAUUAUAUGGGCUUAUAAAUUGCUGAUGAUAAACAUUUAAGAGAAAAGUUUAAUAACAAAAGCCCAAUUAGAUAUCUAACAACUUUACGCAGGAAAAAAACCAGUUAGAAGACCAAAAAAAAACUCUCUCAUCGAAAGAAAAGCCAAACAGAGGGAUAUAUUCGGCGAGUUCAACAGGAGAAGCUCAGACGGUUUAUUAGGGAUUUUGAAUUAGAAGAUGUUAUGAAUGGAUUAAUGGACAGUAUCAAGUUUUCUUGAUUGAGUACGAAAUCGAGACAUAGCCGAAGCAAAAGUGAACAUGCAAUACAUCAAUUGAAGAAACGUCGGAUGCGGCUGUGGUGAUGUUUUGUGAUAAGAGUUGAGUUAUAAUUGUGAUCGAGAUCGAGAGGAGAGCAGAUCCGUAAACACCAAAGGGGAAGCCGACA